AGUGUGACAUCAGCGGUCAUGGAGAGUCUCCAUCCAGCUGGAUCACUGUCACAGACAAACUCACCACCACACCUCCACCUACAUCCACACCUCUUCUUCUUGCACUGUCAUGUGUUGGAGCAGUCUGUUUUGUGGCUCUGCUGGUGAGAACAUGUGUUCACAGGAAACCUGAAGACAGUGAUCCAGCUACAGUUUACUCAGCAGUGAGAACUGAAGACGUCACUUGUGGAAAAAUCCUCAUCAAAGACAAGAAGAAAUCAAAUCUGAGAGAGACUGAUUCAGCUGUGGUCUACUCAGCAGUGAGAACUGAAGACGUCCGUUAUGGACAAACCACCAUCAGAACAAGGAGGCCCAGACUUUAAACCAGAGCCAGACGUCGUCUACUCUUCACUGAAGUAGUCCACCAGUCCAACCACUGACAUCCAGCUGCUGGUCUUUAACUGGUCCCCCCAGCACCUCAGACCAGAGGACAUCCACAUGUUACAGAUUUUACAUGUUACAGAUGUUUUAUGUCUUUUUAGCACUGAAUUAGACUCUGAUGACCCAGAACUACUUACUGGAAGUCAGUUCAUUGACUUGAUGUUUGUUGGCUUUUGUUCCCACAGCAGUGAGCAGGAUUAAUAAACUACAAAUACAAAAUUUAA